ACACUGACGCUUGUUGAUGACAGACGCUACAACAUGUGCAGAUGACAGGCACACAACUGGAUAUAUUUCAGCAAAUAAACCGACAUACAGUCCGAUAAAAUGUGGGAAUCGAGUGUCAUUUAACUCCUCGAAGGAAUGUGUUUGGACCAUUACAUCCAGUCAUCAGAAGCAGAGCUGUGGGACGUGUGGACAGACAUUGACUGUAAUGAUGGACUUCUGCUGAUGGACAGCAUAACCCCUGCUGCUGACUGUCCCGGAAGCUUCGGGGGGAGACCGUACUGGUAUCCCCCUCCUUUGGGCGCGCCACUCACACAACAUCCACUCCUAUCGCGGAGAUCUGGCUGGGAUCAAACCAGCAACCUCUGAACCCGUGAGGCAGCGCUCUUACCUGUGAGCCACAGAUCUCUUGCUGAUACAUGUGCUGGAACUUAUAUUUCACUGUUAUCCUGAGAGUUUCCAAUAAAGCAGUUAAAGUGAGAUUCAAACCCACGUCUUCAUCAGUCUUGUCCUCAGAGAGUGUGUGUUAAUCCGCUCACCUAUCAUGGAUUUCACGUUUAUGGCUGUUUUUUGGGGCUCCUUGUCUAAUGAGAACUAUUGAAAGUCAGCAAUAGUGGGACUUGAACUCAGGACGCUGUGAUCGAAACACAACUCUUUCUCUCCUGAGCCACUGAGACUGCUGAGAUGAAGAGCAUUUUCAACCGGUUUGAUCCAGAGUUUUGUGUUAAAUGAUGAAUAACUUUAACAAACAUGGAUCUGAAACAGGACUUUCUGGUUGGUAAGGUUGACAACUAUACGCUGAGCCUGUGAGUCAAUUAUGUUGUUUUAGAUUUAAAGUUUAAAGUUCUUAGCGUAUGUAAAAGAUUAUCGUCAUUGAUUAAUAAUUCAUUGACUACUCAGAUCUAUUCUUAUAAAAAAAUGUUUUUAUUUUUAA